AGGAAAGCUGCCCAGGUUGGAUGGAGUCUUGUUUGAAUGUACUGCACUUGCACUGCAGCUACAGGACCCUGGAAAUCAUCCCACCCUAGGUUUUAUACGAGGGGAAGGAAAACAUGACCCACUGGACUAAAACAUUGAAGAGCAACUUGUUCCUAGGAGGAACUGGAACAGAGCCCUGGCUGUUCUAGAUUUGUGCUAGACUUUGGAGAUAUGAAGAUGAUUGAAUCAAGGUCUUUAUCUUUAACUGAGAUGUUCAUAAUAAUAUCACAGAAAAGAAGACAUAUAAAGAUCGUAUACAAAUAAAUACAAUACAAUGUGGUAAAAGAUCUCAGCCUCCAUAACUUUAAAAAUGGUAUAAAUUAUAUCGUUUAAAAAUUGCAAGAAGAAAACUGUUGCAAACAUUUGCAGUCACAUGACCUGAAAGGACCUUUGAAGAUACAACUUUUGGAAUCUUAGUCUCCAUUUUGAAUAUAUACUUUUGCUGUUAUAACCAGUAGAAGAGAAUUUCCAGCAACUUAUACGUUAUUAUUUUUCCAGGUGACUGAGCAUUGAAAGAACUUUACUCAUAAAUGGGUUGUCAACACUAGCAUGGAGUGUCUUAGGCAGCAGUAAGUUCACCAUUCUUGGGUAUUUAAAAAGAAGAUGGAUGAACAUCUGAAAGGAAUCCCGUAAUGAGGUUUUGGCAUUGCUCAACAGAUUAACUUUUAACACUCUUCCAUCUUUGAUCUUUUUUACAUUCCAACUUCAACGUAAAACUUUCUUGAAGCCAAGAAGUAUUAAUUUUAAAAUGGAAAAAACACCAUAUUUAUUUGUGUUACUUAUUUAUAUCACAUGAAUAUACUUUCAGAUAUGUGGAUAUUCAAUACUGUCUACAGUUUGUAACAU
ensembl:lncRNA novel transcript